GUAGGUACAGAAGGUGGAUAGCUUAGGGUUUUGCUUGUUUUGAGUUCCCCAGACACGGCACUUGGAGAAGCAAGAGCUGGCAUCUAGUGUGGGGCCCUGUGCUAGGUUUCCUGAUUUGCAGGGGAGACUAGUCCACCCAGAGAACUCAGGGGUUUCCUCAGGGUGAGGGGGAAGAUGUAAAUUCUGGACCCCGUUUUCCUUGCACCUCCAGGGCUAUGGUAGCUCAUUGUCCCUGUAAGGUCCAUGGUGCCCUCCUGGGGCCAGAGUCCCAGGGGAUUCCCAGGCCCCUUAGGGGACAGACUCGCGGGGCUUCAGGGACUUCAUAGGUAAAGUUUGUGACAGCCUUCCCCAGGGGUAGGGGCUCCAAGCAUCUGGGCUCGACCUGGGCCCCCGAAGACCCCCCGAGUCCUAGCCCUGUCUGACUCGGGACAUGCCAUGGGACAACUGAUGGCCAAGUUGAUGAGCAUCUUCUGGGAACGGGGCUCUACACGAUGCGCCCAUCCUCAUCUUUGCCAAUAAGCAGGACAUGAAGGACUCCAUGACCAUCGUGGAGAUCUCCAGUUCCUCACCCUAGUGCCAUCAAAGACCACCCGUGGCACAUACAGGGCUGCUGUGCCCUCACCGGGGAAGGGCUGCCUGCCGGGCUGCAGUGGAUGCAGUCUCAGGCCACUGCCAGUUGAUGUCCCAGACUGAGGCCAACCAGAAACUUGGAGGGUUUUGCAUGGACUAUGUGGGUAGAAAACCCAAGUGACUAUUAUUUUUCUAUGACGCUGUAGUGACCAGGGGCAUCUAUGGAUGGUGAGAUUGCUACUGUCCACCCAACCCCCCCACUGAGGAGCUAGAUGGAGCACCCUGAGUUGCUGCAGACAGGACAGCAGAAAAGCUGCCCUUCACUCCAUGGAAGCAGGCAUCCUUCUUAGAGACACCAGGGGAGCUGUUGGAUGUGUUGGGGGAUCAGGAAGUGGAGCCCCCUCCCUCAGCCCUCAACCUCUCUGUAGGAAAAAUGGAGGGCCGAGUAAGAGACCCCUGGAAUUGUUCUUUAUUUCCUAGACCUCUACCCCAACCCUUUAACCCCCACUCCAGCUUUCCGGCCCCUUAGCCAUCUUUGUCCCAUACGCUUCAGUCAAAGGAGAUGCUAGAAAGGUGAAGAGGCUGGCUCAGGGGUUGCUCAGUCGUGUCCAACUCUUUGCGACCCCAUGGACCGUAGCCUACCAGGCUCCUCCCUCCAUGGGAUUCUCCAGGAAAGAGUACUGGAGCGGAUUGCCAUUUCCCUCUCCAGGGGAUCUUCCUGACCUGGGUCUCCCUCAUUCCAGGCAGAGGCUUUAACUUCUGAACCACCAGGGAAGGGGGGCAGAGCCAAAGCCUGAGAGGGGAGAGGGUGGAGGACUGGACGUUCCAGCCAGAGACGGGUCCUCACACUGCAGGGGGUUCCACUCCUUCCCCACCUUCCCAUUCCCUCUGAGACGCUGGGUCUGACCACAGCUUUUGAGCUUUAAGCUACCCCUUCACUCCCAGUAUCCUUCCAGUGUGAAUCCCACUCCUCCCAAUACCCCAGAUUCCUAC
ensembl:lncRNA